rnacentral:rRNA from 1 species
AUUGAACGCUGGCGGCAGGCUUAACACAUGCAAGUCGAGCGGAGCGAGGGUGCUUGCACCUUAGCUUAGCGGCGGACGGGUGAGUAAUGCUUAGGAAUCUGCCUAUUAGUGGGGGACAACAUUCCGAAAGGGAUGCUAAUACCGCAUACGCCCUACGGGGGAAAGCAGGGGAUCUUCGGACCUUGCGCUACUAGACGAGACUAAGCCGGAUUAGCUAGUUGGUGGGGUAAAGGCCUACCAAGGCGACGAUCGGUAGCGGGUCUGAGAGGAUGAUCCGCCACACUGGGACUGAGACACGGCCCAGACUCCUACGGGAGGCAGCAGUGGGGAAUAUUGGACAAUGGGCGGAAGCCUGAUCCAGCCAUGCCGCGUGUGUGAAGAAGGCCUUUUGGUUGUAAAGCACUUUAAGCGAGGAGGAGGCUACUAGUAUUAAUACUACUGGAUAGUGGACGUUACUCGCAGAAUAAGCACCGGCUAACUCUGUGCCAGCAGCCGCGGUAA